CCUGGUUGAUCCUGCCAGUAGCAUAUGCUUGUCUCAAAGAUUAAGCCAUGCAUGUCUAAGUACACACGGCCGGUACAGUGAAACUGCGAAUGGCUCAUUAAAUCAGUUAUGGUUCCUUUGGUCGCUCCAACCGUUACUUGGAUAACUGUGGUAAUUCUAGAGCUAAUACAUGCCGACGAGUGCUGACCUCCGGGGAAGCGUGCGUUUAUCAGACCAAAACCAACCGGGGCUUGCCCGGCUGCUUUGGUGACUCUAGAUAACCUUGGGCCGAUCACACGCCCUCAUGGCGGCGACGACGCAUUCGAGUGUCUGCCCUAUCAAGUUUCGAUGGUACUUUCUGUGCCUACCAUGGUGACCACGGGUAACGGGGAAUCAGGGUUCGAUUCCGGAGAGGGAGCCUGAGAAACGGCUACCACAUCCAAGGAAGGCAGCAGGUGUGCAAAUUACCCACUCUUGACCUGGGGAGGUAGUGACAAAAAAUAACAAUACAGGUCUCUUUUGAGGCUCUGUAAUUGGAAUGAGUACACUUUAAAUGCUUUAACAAGGAUGUAUUGGAGGCACCAUGUCUGGUGCCAGCAGUCGCGGUAAUUCCAGCUCCAGUAGUGUAUAUUAAAGUUGUUGCAGUUUAAAAAGAUCGUAGUUGGAUCUUGGGAUCAAGCUGGUGGUCCACCGCAAGGUGAGCUACAGCCUGUCCUAGCCCCUGCCUCUCGGUGCUCCCUUGAUGCUCUUAACUGAGUGUCCUGCAGGUCCAAAGCGUUUACUCUGAAAAAAUUAGAGCGUUCAAAGCAGGCUGGUCGCCGGAAUACUCCAGCUAGGAAUAAUGGAAUAGGACUCCGGUUCUAUUUUGUUGGUUUUCGGAACUGGGGCCAUGAUUAAGAGGGACAGCUGGGGGCAUUCGUAUUGUGCCACUAGAGGUGAAAUUCUUGGACCAGCGGAAAACAAACCAAAGCGAAAGCGUUUGCCAAGAAUGUUUUCGUUAAUCAAGAAUGAAAGUCAGAGGUUCGAAGACUAUCAGAUACCAUUGUAGUUCCAACCACAAACGAUGCUGACUAGCGAUCCAGCGGCAUUAUUCCCAUGACCCGCCGGGCAGCUUCCGGGAAACCAAAGU
rnacentral:rRNA from 1 species